GUACUCGCUUCCUUGGCACAUAUAUUAAAAUUGAUAUCAAUACGAGAAGAUCAGCCUGGCCCCUCUGCAAGGACGUCAUGUGAAUACCCCUAUAAAUCUCACUUUGUA